GGAAACCAAAUCUGUAUCAGCCGCACCGGUGCAGGCAUAGCCAGCCCCAGCCUCAGACUGCUCGCCUCACCUGGCCCAGGCUUCGGUUUCCUCCCUCAAGGCUGACUCUUCCUGAAGGAGCACUCCAGGAGGCCUGUCACCAGUUUUGAAGUCCUUACCUCGGCCUCUUGAGUGCUGGGAUUACAGUUGUAUCCCACCGUGCUUCCCAAAGCAAGAUGGAGAGAGGUGCCUGGGCGAUGCCAGUAGAGGUGGGGAGGAGCAGAUGGGUAAUCUCCCAGCCCCACCAAGACUCACUCUGUGGAUGACACCAGCAGCGUGGAUAUACUGUGGGAGAGAGGGAGUUCAGCCGUCAGCUCAGCGGGCGCCCCAAGCCUCUCAGCUCUACCCUGCCCAGCCAGGAAGCCUGUCCACCUCCCUACGGCCACCUCUUACCUUCAGCCCCUUCAGCAUCUGAUACACAAGGAACUGGACUCUGUCUUCACUCAGAGUCUCGUGCUUCAUCAGCUUGCCCAGAUCAGUGCCCAUGAACGGCAUCACCAGGUAGCUGUGGAAACAAGGGAUGCAGCCAAUGCAGGGCUAGUCCCUAGACCUAAGCUAACACCCACUGGGCCCAGUUCACACCUUGCCACACCCCAUCCCAGCAGGAGCCACUACAAUAUUACUCUGUAGCACCCAUUCCUCACUAUCUUCGGGGUCCUACCAUACUGUGAUGCUUCAAUCCCACCAUGCCCUGCUAGGCUCCUACUUUCUGUCCACACCUAUCUUGGGCAAUUACACCAUCUCGAUGCAUGCUCAUAUCCCCACUUUCCAAAAUGGAAGGCAGGGUUUAGGGGGACUUUGUUUUUGAGGAAAGGUCUCACUUUGCAGUCCUUUCUGGCCCAGAACUCACUGUGCAGACCAGGAUGACCUCAGACACACAGACAGCUCUGCCCCUGCCCCUGCCCCUGCCCCUGCCCCUGCCCCUGCCCCUGCCCCUGCCCCUGCCUCCACCUCCGCCUCC